rnacentral:lncRNA from 12 species
UUUUUCUCAACUAACAUACCGUGUCUAAUACAAACAGGUACGCAUCGCACAUGCAGGUCAGGGAAGGGGAGCGCAGGUGGGCCUCCUGGGGUUCUGUCCCCGCGCAUCUUGUGCUGGGCCUGGGCAGGGGUGCAGGGGCUGAGUGAGGAGGGAAACCAGGCCGGCGGGGCUGGGUGGGUGGGGGGAUGCCCGGCGACCCCUUCUGUCCCCCAGACGGACGGACGGUUGGACAGACUACAGGGCCUCGGCCCCCGCGGUGCUCCAGGGGUGGCCUCACAGUCCCUGCUCCGGCUCGCAGGACACCGACCCUGCCGGGACCCCACCGUCGCCCCCACCCUGACGGCCCAGCGUCCCCACUCAGCAUCCACCUGUGCAGUGUCCUCCGCGGCCGCAGACACCCCGGCCCGCCCGCCUCCUCAGAUCCGCUCCAGAACCUGUCCUGUCUCGCCCCAGCCUCUGCUCCGGGGGCCACGGGAGCCCCGCUUGUCGUCCUGCCUCCCUAGGGGCUCCCCCGGGGUAGAGAGGCCCGAACCCCGCCCCGCACCUGGCCUUCUCUCCUGGGGCAGCCCCUGCAGGUGCACGCAGCCCCUCCUCCACUGUGCUGGGGGUGGGGGCUGCCCUGCGGCUGGGCCCUCCCUCCCUCAGCUCCGUGCAGGCCACGGCUCUGCUCCCUGCCCCUCCUCCCGCCUCCUUGACUCUGCCACACGCACACGUCUGCACACACUCACGCGGUCACCCUUACUCCCCUCUCCCCGCGUCAUGCUCCCACUUCCCCUGGCCUUCCAGGUAGGGCUUUUCGGUUGGUCUCCCCCACUAGGAUUUAGGCUCUGUGGAGGCAGGGAUUUCCUUUGCCUGCGGGCUCCCUGCGGCUGCGUGCCCGGGGCCUGGAAUAAGUCCUGGCGCAGGAAAUGUUUGCGGAAUGGACUGGUACACGGAGCGCCAGGGUCUGAGCAAAGCAGAAAAGCAGGGCUCCUGGUCUGCAAUCCGUCUUUUUGGUGUAUGUCCCGCAAACUUCUAGUAACUACUGCUUCAGAGAUUGACCGCGCCUUUGACAGUGUUGCCCAAGGAACGUUGGUUGGGGUCGUUUUGGAAUCGGGGCGAUGCCCCACCCGGCCACGGAUGUAUUAAGACCCAGAGAAAUGCUCUUAGCGAUUCUGCUGCCGGUGGCCUUGGGGCGGCUCCGAGCGCCCGCUCUCCCCACUCCCGUCUCCAG